AGACUGCGCAUGCGCACCACUUGCUUCCAGCGCAUGAACACAGACGGCGCCACACAGUCGCCUCAUCCUCCUCAGGGUUUUCAAGAAAAUGAGACCACAAGAUGGCGAUAUUGGAUAUCCAUUUGAUUACAGUGCAGGCUUGUAGAACUGCUGAUACAGAACUACAUCAUGCCUGGGACUGAUGUGUGAUGUGACGGUAUGAGGUCAGUGUGAGAAGAACAUCCAGGCUACAAACUUCACAUGGGAGACAGCUAUAGCUGAAGAUUUCCAAAUAAAGGGAAGCGAGCGAGAGAAAAGAGUGCUUGUGUGUGGAUUCUUGGAAUAUACUUCAAAGUUAGUGUAUCACCUGGCUUUCAUCAGUACAAAUACCAAUACUGUAAAAAACAAAGGAAUCUCAUCCCCAUGCUCGCAGGCGUGCUGCUGCUGUCUGAAGGACAGUUCUGUCAGUGAGAACAUCGUGGAGAAUGUGUUUUUCUUUGAACCCUUUUCUGUUGUGAAAUUGUACCAAGUGCCAAUAUUAUAUUACUGCAGCAAAAUUGGUUUGGAUGGAUAAUUUGUAUUUUGGUCUGGCAUAUGACCUGGAGAUGUAGAUAUUAGCCGUGUUCCAGUAGUAAAGAAAAACCAAACCAGACAAAAGAUAUACAGCUGACAUGUUGUAACUAGUCUUGUAAAAAAUAUAAAGCUUAAAUUACAGAAUAUUACAGUGUAGGAAAUACUGUAUACUCUGUGAUACAAUAAAUUGGUUACAUGCUUUGACUGUGUAUGAAAUAUACUCUAUAUGAUGAAUCAUUUAUUAUAUAUG